rnacentral:rRNA from 1 species
CGGGUGAGUAACACGUGGAUAACCUACCUAUAAGACUGGGAUAACUUCGGGAAACCGGAGCUAAUACCGGAUAAUAUAUUGAACCGCAUGGUUCAAUAGUGAAAGACGGUUUUGCUGUCGCUUAUAGAUGGAUCCGCGCCGCAUUAGCUAGUUGGUAAGGUAACGGCUUACCAAGGCAACGAUGCGUAGCCGACCUGAGAGGGUGAUCGGCCACACUGGAACUGAGACACGGUCCAG